rnacentral:lncRNA from 1 species
UUGCUUAUGCUUGUUGCUUGCUAAAGUUCAAAGGAAAUGAGUUUCUAUAUGACAUUCUUGUCUGUUGGAUUGCAUCCCAUUGAUCAGAUCUUUUCAACUCUUAACUUUUAAUUUUUGUCUAAGAUAGUCCCUUCAUCUCCUCCCACUUCUUUAAUUUCAAAAUAUCUCCCUCUUUUUAAAACCUUUUUUGUUUGUAUUUUUUUUUAACUUAGACAUAUUUUAAUAAUUAGAUACUUUGACCUUAUGCCAUUGAAUUUUCAAAAAAAUAAAUUAAUCAAACUUAUGAAUUAAUUUAACCAUAUUGACUUUAAUUUCAAAAAGACAAAAAGAACUAACAACCCUAUUCAAAUCUUUGGCCUUUUAUGCCUUUUCUUGUUAAACUUUUGUUAAAAUCAAUUCACCAACUUCUUUGAAAUUUUUACCAUGAACUACGGGGUUUUGAUCCCUCGUUUUUAUGUUGGUACAUAGGCAUACGACCGAAGGUCUUGUCAAACACAAAAAUAUAAUUAAUGAAUUCUUCUCUCAUCCCCCCACUAUAUAUUUUACG